GGGAAUAUGACUUAGUGGUAGAGUGCAUGCUUAGCAUGCAUGAAAUCCUGGGUUUGAUUUCUCAGUAUCA
rnacentral:tRNA from 1 species